UACGUAGGGCGCAAGCGUUGUCCGGAAUUAUUGGGCGUAAAGAGCUCGUAGGCGGUCUGUCGCGUCGGAUGUGAAAGCCCGGGGCUUAACCCCGGGUCUGCAUUCGAUACGGGCAGACUAGAGUGUGGUAGGGGAGAUCGGAAUUCCUGGUGUAGCGGUGAAGUGCGCAGAUAUCAGGAGGAACACCGGUGGCGAAGGCGGGUCUCUGGGCCGAUACUGACGCUGAGGAGCGAAAGCGUGGGGAGCGAACAGG
rnacentral:rRNA from 1 species